GAUGAACGCUGGCGGCGUGCCUAGUACAUGCAAGUCGAGCGAACAGACGAGGAGCUUGCUCCUCUGACGUUAGCGGCGGACGGGUGAGUAACACGUGGAUAACCUACCUAUAAGACUGGGAUAACUUCGGGAAACCGGAGCUAAUACCGGAUAAUAUAUUGAACCGCAUGGUUCAAUAGUGAAAGACGGUUUUGCUGUCACUUAUAGAUGGAUCCGCGCCGCAUUAGCUAGUUGGUAAGGUAACGGCUUACCAAGGCAACGAUGCGUAGCCGACCUGAGAGGGUGAUCGGCAACACUGGAACUGAGACACGGUCCAGACUCCUACGGGAGGCAGCAGUAGGGAAUCUUCCGCAAUGGGCGAAAGCUUGACGGAGCAACGCCGCGUGAGUGAUGAAGGUCUUCGGAUCGUAAAACUCUGUUAUUAGGGAAGAACAAAUGUGUAAGUAACUAUGCACGUCUUGACGGUACCUAAUCAGAAAGCCACGGCUAACUACGUG
rnacentral:rRNA from 1 species